rnacentral:snoRNA from 1 species
ACGACCUUACUUGAACAGGACCUGUUCUAUAGGCUCGUACCUCUGUAUUCUUGAUUCCUAAGAAGACAGAAACCCAUGUUUGGUUAAUGAGCCAUGACCAUGUAACCAGAGUGGGUUACAUGGUUGUCUGACAGGUU